UACAGAGGUCCCAAGCGUUGCUCGGAUUCACUGGGCGUAAAGGGUGCGUAGGUGGCUUGGUAAGUUUGAUGUGAAAUCUCCGGGCUUAACCCGGAAAUGGCAUUGAAUACUAUUGAGCUGGAGGUUUGGAGGGGGGACUGGAAUUCUCGGUGUAUCAGUGAAAUGCGUAGAUAUCGAGAGGAACACCAGUGGCGAAGGCGAGUCCCUGGACAACACCUGACACUGAGGCACGAAAGCUAGGGGAGCAAACAGG
rnacentral:rRNA from 1 species